rnacentral:rRNA from 1 species
GAUGAACGCUGGCGGCGUGCCUAAUACAUGCAAGUCGAGCGAACGGACGAGAAGCUUGCUUCUCUGAUGUUAGCGGCGGACGGGUGUGUAACACGUGGAUAACCUACCUAUAAGACUGGGAUAACUUCGGGACACCGGAGCUAAUACCGGAUAAUAUUUUGAACCGCAUGGUUCAAAAGUGAAAGACGGUCUUGCUGUCACUAAUAGAUGGAUCCGCGCUGCAUUAGCUAGUUGGUAAGUUAACGGCUUACCAAGGCAACGAUGCAUAGCCGACCUGAGAGGGGGAUCGGCCACACGGGAACUGAGCCACGGACCAUACUCCUGCGGGAGGCAGCAGUAGGGAAUCGUCCGCAGUGGGCGAAAGCCUGACGGAGCAACGCCGCGUGAGUGAUGAAGGUCUUCGGAUCGUAAAACUCUGUUAUUAGGGGAGAACAUAUGUGUAAGUAACUGUGCACAUCUUGACGGUACCUAAUCAGAAAGCCACGGCUAACUACGUG